AUUGAACGCUGGCGGCAGGCCUAACACAUGCAAGUCGAGCGGAUGAAGGGAGCUUGCUCCUGGAUUCAGCGGCGGACGGGUGAGUAAUGCCUAGGAAUCUGCCUGGUAGUGGGGGAUAACGUCCGGAAACGGGCGCUAAUACCGCAUACGUCCUGAGGGAGAAAGUGGGGGAUCUUCGGACCUCACGCUAUCAGAUGAGCCUAGGUCGGAUUAGCUAGUUGGUGGGGUAAAGGCCUACCAAGGCGACGAUCCGUAACUGGUCUGAGAGGAUGAUCCGUCACACUUGAACUGAGACACGGUUCAGACUCCUACGGGAAGCAGCAGUGGGGAAUAUUGGACAAAGGGGGAAAGCCUGAUCCAGCCAUGCCGCGUGUGUGAAGAAGGUCUUCGGAUUGUAAAGCACUUUAAGUUGGGAGGAAGGGCAGUAAGUUAAUACCUUGCUGUUUUGACGUUACCAACAGAAUAAGCACCGGCUAACUUCGUG
rnacentral:rRNA from 1 species